AGGGAGAAGCAGGCUCCAUGCAGGAAACCCAAUGUGGGACUCGAUCCCAGGACCCUGGGACCAUGACCUGAGCCGAAGCCAGACACUCAACCACUGAGCCACCCAGGUGUCCUUCAGAUGAUAUAUUUUGUUACCCCCACUUCUUCAGCUGGUCCUCCUGUCUGUGGGCAAGGCUUCAGGCCGACCGACCUCCCUGACAAGAGCACAUAUGCAAAGAACUCUGUCCCUACUGCUGGCAUCGUGAGAAAAACAACCAAAAUGAGAAAGGGUAGCCAACACACACUGCCACCCCUAGACCUGGAAGUCCUAAUUUGGAAGGGACAGAGUAAACUUUGGGGAAGAAACAGAAUCUUGUCUGGCUUGCUUUUCACUUAAUCAAUAAAUAGGCUCUUUAACGUGCUUGCUACGUAUUUAUUUUAAUGAAAAGCCCAGAGAGAUUUUUUUCUUCCCCCAGAGUUUAUGUAACAUAUAAUUUUUACAUAAUAUAUAUUAUGUAUAUGUAAUAUAUAUUUUGUAACAUUUAUUUAUAUAAAUAUGCGUGUAUAUACACACACACACACAUCUAUAAUCUCCAUGAAGGCAGUUUUCUUGUUGUGCAUUCAGCAUUCAUUAAAGGAAGCAAUUUCCAUGACUGUUUAAGUUCUAAAACUCUUGCCUCUUAAAGAUCUGUGUUUAGUCCUACAGAACCAAAAGGUGUCCCUGAACUAGUCAACGAUGAGAGCCAUGACUAGAUGAUAUACUUAGACCGUAGUCUUCAGACUCCAGAAGUUGACAGGCUCUUUCCAGACAAGAAUACCCAGCAGAGACUUUAGAGCGAAGAACAGAGAAACACAGAAUUACCUGACAUUUAGAAUAAUAUAAAUCUCAUUUCAGAUGUGACAAUGUAUUUUCAGUGCCGUUUACUACAAAUAGCAAAGCCUCAGGAUGGGCAGGGGAAAAUCCGUGCCUCUGCAAAGGUACAGAACUCAUCAGGAGAAUGCAGUAUCACCUAAGGAAACCAUCAUUACUCCAAAGGAAAAGAAAAUCCCCUAAGACAUCUUUCAGAUUUCCCACAGGACAGACCAAGACUACAGCAGCACAGAAGCUGCCACAGCUUUGGCUGCUCCAAGUAUGGUCUUUGACACAAGGUGUUGGCAUGUGACUUACUCAUCCUGGGCACCAGGACUCCUAAAGAAAUGACAGUCCCUUGGUGCUGUAUUUAAUUGGAGAGGAGCUCAGAGACGGGAGAUUAUAAUUAUGACGCCCGAAAUGUCAAGCUCUUCAAAAGCCUGCCAUUGCCCUCACUGUCACCCCAAUCAGCUCUGGAAACCCAAACCCUGCACCCCCACUCCCCACCCCCAGAGCAUACCCUGAGUCUCUCAGCCAGGCCUCACCUGGGAAAUCUGAGUGACGUUGACAUGCAGGCAGCAGGAAGACACACGGUGAACUGAGGAGCCUGUGCUGAGCUCAGAAGAGGCCAAAGUCUACUUGGAGGCCCUAACUCAACUCACCCUAUGCGUGGAAUGCACCAGGGAUCUCAGCUUCCUGCAACCAAGACAGAAUUGAAAGGACCCAACCAGGAUAAUGAGGCAUAAACCAGGCAAUCUCUGGAGCCAGACGGUUUGAGCUCAAAUUCCAUCUCCAUAAUUGCUGGCUACUUGGCCUCCAUCACAUUCCACCAAGACUCAGUUUCCUCACUGGGAAGAUGGAGAUAGUAACAGAACCUACCUCACUGGAUUGUGAGGAAGAUGAAAAGAAGAAAUGUAUGCAGAGGGGUCAGCAGAGUGCCCAGCAUGUGGAAGCUGCAGCCCCUGCUGCCGUGUUGGGUUUUGCUAUGGUGUCUUGGCCCCUCUCCUGACCCCACUCCUAUAAGGCACUGAGGCUCCUUUAUGGAGGUGGUACCCUUGAUGUCUCGACAGGAACCCUCUACCCAUUAUGAAUAUACCUCUCAUCAGCCAGCUUAGCAAGAAUGAUUUCACCACUGGGAAGUUUGUCCCCUUGCACUGCCUGCUCCCUCCCUUGCCUGGGAAUCAGGUGCCUAUCCCUUGAGGUUAGACUAUACCUGUGCUUGAUCACCCUACUCUCUUGCCCUUCUGGGUCCUGGGGUAGCCCUUGAAGGCAUUAACUAUCACCAUCUAGUAGAGGAUCUCUCCUGAGGGUUCCUGGCAAUAAUGUGAGGUCUGUAGCCAGCAGGUUCCCCACCUCACCUACCAGCUGGACAUGCAUUACAAACUGCUGACUCAUGAAGGCUCAUGUGGUUUUGGCUGUUUGUACAUUCUCUCAUCUCCAGCUGUCAGCCAAAACAUAAUUGUAGCUGUCACUUUGGCAGCGAGAUGCUGUGAUGUGUCCUAAUACAACUGCCUCAGCUCCACAGCAGUGAGCUUUUAGGAGAUGGGAGGAAUCUGCAGCUGCUCCUGUGGAGAGAGCCAUUCUGAAAAGUGGUCUAUGUGAUGUUCACCCAGGUGCAGCCAUGGAGGUGAUGUGAACACCAGAAUAAGGCACUGCAUUAGAACAGGCACUAGCAUGCUUUCGUCUGCAGCUAUAGUAAUGCAAUUCUGAUGACAUCAAUUAAUAAGAGAGAGGCUGUCAUGGAAAUGAGGCAUUCUGAGCAGCUAAGAGAACUUGGAAACUACCUUUAGACUUAAAUGAAAGUUGGACUCUAGUAUGCAUGAAGUGAAUGAGGGGUUGGACAUUUAAGUACAUGGUAUAGGGAGAGGAUGCCAGAAAUAUAGUUGGAGCCAUAUUGGGAAGCAAGGGACUUGAAGGCCAAGCUUAGGGAUGCCUGGGUGGCACAGUGGUUGAGCAUCUGCCUUUGGCUCAGGUCGUGUUCCCAGAGUCCUGGGAUCGAGUCCCACAUCAGGCUCCUUGCAGGAAGCCUGCUUCUCCCUCUGCCUAUGUCUCUGCCUCUGUGUGUGUGUGUGUGUGUGUGAUGAAUAAAUAAAUAAAUCUUAAAAAAAAAAAAAAAAGCCAAGCUUAGACUUGAUCAUGCAAGCAAUAGGGAGCCACUGAAGGACUUAAGGGAGAAAGGGAUGUAGUCAGACAACACUGGGAGUCCAGGCUCAAACAUUCUCAAGUAGAGGCAAUAAAGGUAAGACUCCCUCUGUACAACAGUGGUAAGCUCCUUGGGAAGCUUUCUGGAGCACCUGGAGCAUACUACCCUGGAUUCAGGGGUGGCUGUGGCUUCAUGCUUAGUGGGUAAAAGUGAGAAAGGCCAGCCCUUGUCAGGCCAGUUGAGUGUCCAGCAAGUAAUGGGAGGCACAGGGCUCAUGCCUUCCUUUGUCCUUGGUCCUUCUAGGCCAGAGUUCAUUAAGGAAGCACUCCUGUGCUGAUGUGAUAAAUGCAAGGGACUACAGGUACUUAUGCCAAAGGUCAGGGGGCCUCCUGGGGUUGAGACAUGGUCCCACUGCCUGUGGAUAUUGUCUCCCCUACCAUACAUAUAUGCUUAGAAAACAGCAGAGACAAAUGUCCAGGUUUGAUUGACAGAAGGAUUCCUAGAAGGAAGGUUUUGCUUUUAUAAGAGAUUGUACUUAAAAAAAAAAAGAUUUUAUUUAUUUAUUCAUGAGAGACACACAGAGAGGGGGGCAGAGACACAGGCAGAGGGAGAAGCAGGCUCCAUGCAGGGAGCCUGAUGUGGGACUCCAUCCCAGGACUCCAGCAUCACUCCCUGGGCCGAAGACAGACACUAAACCGCUGAGCCACUCAGACAUCCCAGAGAUUGUACUUAAAUAAAUCCCAGUUUAUAGGUUGGUUUCAUGAAGAUAGAAAAAUAUGAAGUGUUGGGACCAUUGACAGUGGAUGAACCACCCACAGCAAUGGAAGCCAGAGCAUAUCUAGACCAUCAUGUAAGUCAGGAGGAAAACAGGAUUCAGUUGACAGAAAUUCUAUGUCCUCUUCUCAGAAGUGCAUUGUUGUGGAAGCAGAGAUUUGGCAGUGAUUCUCCCUUUCAGCUGUAAGCUAGGGAGGGCAGGAUACCUCUCAGGUUGUUAGGGGAGGAAAGGCAGGAGGAAGAAAUCCCAUUCUGGCAUGAGCUUCCAUCAGUGUUCCAGGGUUGGGCUGCCAAGGGGCAGGAGGGAGGAGAUGCAGCAUGUAUUGAACAAUGAGGAAGUCUGCUCACCUGGGCAGCUCCUGACACAAGGUGACUGUUGUGGGUGCCUGGAACACUUUGGCCUAUGGAUGGAGCCUGAACCUCAUGCUCUUCCCUGAGGGGCAGGCAGCAUGUCCUAACAACUACCUCUGCCUACCCAUGGCUGGCUUGUAGUAGUAUGCCAAAAUGUAAUUUUGCACUAUUUAGUUUGCUUUUUCCUUUAGAAUUUAACAUAUAUUAGGUUUGCAAUUUUUUUUUAUUGUCUGAAAAGUCCAAACAAUAGAGAGGUGCCUAGGCGGCUCAGUAGAGUCGGUUAGGUGUCUGACUCCACCUCAGAUCAUGAUCUUGGGGUCCUGGGAUUGAGCCCCACAUUGUGCUCCCUGAUCAGUGAGGAAUCUGCUUCUACUCAUGCUCAAUCUCUCUCAAUCUCUAAGUAAAUAAAUUUAAAAAUCUUUUAAAAAAUAUAAAGAAAUAAGAAGAAUAAAGAUAAUAAUAAAAAAAGAAAAAGGAAAAAAUGGCCCUUAAAUUUUUGCCAGGACAACUUCCACUGAAAUUCUUUUAACAUGGGACUGAAACUCAGGACCUUAAAAUCAAGAGCCACACACUCUACCUCACCAAGCCAGCCAGACUCUGCCCCUUCAUGAUACUUUUUUUUUUUAAGAUUUUAUUUAUUUAUUCAUAGAGACACAGAGAGAGAGAGAGAGGCAGAGACAUAGGCAGAGG